rnacentral:rRNA from 1 species
GACGAACCGUCCUAACGUUAUUCGGAUUCACUGGGCGUAAAGGGUGCGCAGGCGGCCAAGUGUGUGAGGCGUGAAAGCCUGGGGCUUAACUCCAGAAUUGCACCUCAAACUACAUGGCUAGAGCAUUGGAGAGGGCAGCAGAAUUCACGGUGUAGCAGUGAAAUGCGUAGAUAUCGUGAGGAAUACCAGAGGCGAAGGCGGCUACCUGGACAAUUGCUGACGCUCAGGCACGAAAGCGUGGGGAGCAAAAGGG